rnacentral:rRNA from 1 species
CCUACGGGAGGCAGCAGUCGAGAAUCAUUCACAAUGGGGGAAACCCUGAUGGUGCGACGCCGCGUGGGGGAAUGAAGGUCUUCGGAUUGUAAACCCCUGUCAUGUGGGAGCAAAUUAAAAAGAUAGUACCACAAGAGGAAGAGACGGCUAACUCUGUGCAAGCAGCCGCGGUAAUACAGAGGUCUCAAGCGUUGUUCGGAAUCACGGGGCGUAAGGCGUGCGUAGGCUGUUUCGUAAGUCGUGUGUGAAAGGCGCGGGCUCAACCCGCGGACGGCACAUGAUACUGCGAGACUAGAGUAAUGGAGGGGGAACCGGAAUUCUCGGUGUAGCAGUGAAAUGCGUAGAUAUCGAGAGGAACACUCGUGGCGAAGGCGGGUUCCUGGACAUUAACUGACGCUGAGGCACGAAGGCCAGGGGAGCGAAAGGGAUUAGAUACCCUUGUAGUC